rnacentral:lncRNA from 1 species
CUGUCCUCUCCCCUCCCCAACUAAUUGAAUUAGGCUCUCUGUGAUGAGGCCAAGGCGUUGAUAUGUGUCCUAGAUCCCCCAGGUGACAAUGCUUCUUCAGCAGACAGGGCUGAGAAACAAACAUUGCAUUUGAUUAUCUCUUCCAGGGCAUAAUCUGGCACCUUCCACAGAAUGGGAAGUAACUGAAAUUGAAGUGAGGAGGUCUGUGAUCAAAAGUAUAACUCACGAAUUCCAAGCUGCAUGACCUUAGUCGAAUCAUCUAACCUUUCUUAGCCUCAAUUUCCCCUGCUAUAAAGAAGGAGACAAGAUCUGCCCCACCAAAUUGUUGAGAAAGCAAAAUAAGGUAUAUUUGAAAAUAUUUGAUACAUAAUAGAUAUUCAAAAGGUAUUACUUGAAUGUUGCAUUUGUUUUCUUUCACUUUAUUGGUUUAAUUGUAAAUAGUGAGAAGUGGUUAGUUUAAUUUUAAGUGUGACAAUCUCAGCAUUCAGUACGGUCACUAUAGUGAACAAGCUGCCUGUAAACUAUAUGUAAAGAAUGAAUGCAGAGAUUGAUUGUGUUCUCACUUCCCUUCCAGUUAAGAAACCUCUAUCUGUGGACCUGCAGUCAGGCUAGCUCAGAGUUCCUCGGACUGGAAUUCUGAUAAACAACGUGCUUAGAGCCCAGUUCUGAGUGGGUGAUGGAGCCCCACGAAGCUGACCUCCAAGAUGUCGCUAGUGGUGGCAGCCUUGAGGCCAAGCAGAGGGGCACACUGGCCUCCUUUGCCUCUGAGACUUCCUAUCUCCAUCUCUGCUGAGAUCUAUAAGGAAUCCGCGGAGGGGAGCAAGGAUAAAACUCUGCCGCACCAGAAUUCACACAUCCAUUCAACACAUAUGGUUUGUAUCCACUCUGUGCCAAGCACCAUUUUUGAUUUAUAGCAGUGAACAAAAUAGACGAAGUACCUGUCCCAUGAAGAUGACUUUGUAGUGGGAAUGAGACAAGAAUGAAUGAAUAACAAAACAUACAUAAGUCAGUGCUGUAAGUGUGAUGAAGAAAAAUGAAGUAAGCACAAAAAAGAGUGAUAGGGCUUACUAUUUCAGAUGGCAUGGUCUGAAAGGACCUUGGAUAAGAUGACACU